rnacentral:rRNA from 1 species
AUUGUACGCUGGCGGCAGGCCUAAUACAUGCAAGUCGAGCGUGCGGCGGACGGGUGAGUAAUGUAUGGGGACUGCCCGAUAGAGGGGGUUAACUUCUGGAAACGGUUGCUACUACCGCAUACUAUCGUAUAACCCUUAUGGGAUUAACUAGUAGGCGGGGUAAAGGCUCACUUAGGCGACGCUGUUUAGCUGGUCUGAGAGGAAGAUCUGCCACACUGGGACUGAGACACGGCCCAGCCUCCUACGGAUGCAGCAGUGGGGAAUAUUGCACAAUGGGCGAAAGCCUGAUGCAGCCAUGCAGCGUGUAUGAAGAAGGCCUUAGGGUUGUAAAGUACUUUCAGCGGGGAGGCGUUACACACAGAAGAAGCACCGGCUAACUCCGUGCCAGCCGCCGCGGUAAUUC